UUAAAGGUUUUUAUUAAAACCACUGUAUUUAAAAAAAACUGUAGUAU
rfam:Astyanax mexicanus Tnplaced_Scaffold_44, whole genome shotgun sequence.